AGAACGAACGCUGGCGGCAGGCUUAACACAUGCAAGUCGAACGCGUGUAGCAAUACACGAGUGGCGCACGGGUGAGUAACGCGUGGAUAUCUGCCUUUUGGUUCGGAAUAACCCCGGGAAACUGGGGCUAAUACCGGGAUGGUUCCUUCGGGAUAAAGAUUUAUCGCCAAAAGAUGAGUCCGCGUACGAUUAGCUAGUUGGUGAGGUAAUGGCUCACCAAGGCGACGAUCGUUAGCUGGUCUGAGAGGACGAUCAGCCACACUGGGACUGAGACACGGCCCAGACUCCUACGGGAGGCAGCAGUGGGGAAUAUUGGACAAUGGGGGCAACCCUGAUCCAGCCAUGCCGCGUGAGUGAUGAAGGCUUCGGGUUGUAAAGCUCUUUUGGCGGGGACGAUGAUGGACGGUACCCGCAGAAUAACGCCCCGCUAACGUUCGCGCCCAGCCGAGCCGAC
rnacentral:rRNA from 1 species